AUGUUUGAGCAGUUUGGACAUAUUCUCUAUGAGUGCAGCGCAUACCAAGUGGACAAUCUUGAGAAGGGAAAAUUGUAUCUUGCCAUUCAUAUCGAGGCUGCUAGGAGAGAAAAGUGGUGUGGGGUGUCAUAUAAGGUAACUAUUCUCGAAGGUGGUGAUGAAUUCGACUGCGAGUGCGAGCAAUUUGCACACAUGGGACUACUUUGCAGCCAUGUUUUGAAGAUACUGCAGAAACACAUUGUGAAGCGAUGGACCAGGGACGCACGGGACAUACUACCGGCUCACCUUACUCAAUAUCAGAGAGAUAAUGCACACAAAAAUCCAUCCAGCUUCAGGCAUUUCAAUAUGUACAUGCAUGCCAUGGAGUUGGUGCGGAAGGACGAUGCAAGUGUGGAAGCAUAUGAGAAAUUCAUGACUCUCAUUAAGAAUUGCAUGGUCCAAAUGGAACCAUUUGCAGAAAUUAGGGAUGGGCUGGGUUUGGAGGACAGGGUUGGUCAACAUGGAGAUGUUGUUAACCAGCUGACAACACAUACAACAGUUGUUGCAGCAAGUGGAGGUGUAGGCAUGGGGACUCUGAAUGAUGAUGCUACCUCUGCAAAUGAGAGUGGGAACAGACUCACUGGUUUGUUGGCGCCAAAGAAAAGGAAAGAAAUGGAGCGCUCGACAAAUAGCCGCGAGAAGGCACCGUACGAGGGGCCAGCAAACGGACAAGGUUCUGCAGCACAUGUCGGCAGCAGGGGUACAAGAGGACUACCUGCCCGGACUGGGGUGAUGCGCCGAAGCCUGUUCGCAAACCAGCGAGGUGCAAAAGUUGUGGAAUUGAAGGUCAUAGGCGAAACAACUGCCACAAAGUGGGUGAUCUGCGGGUGA
rnacentral:rRNA from 1 species